rnacentral:lncRNA from 1 species
AUACCCAUAGUUACCACUGGGAGCAGGGUGGGCCGUUUACACUCCUCAUCCUACCUCGCCAUCACCUUAGGAAGCAGCCAUUCUCCUUGUCUUUACUGUAGAGGAGGAAGCCUGGACAGCCUGCAGUUGAGGGGACCUGCACAAGCUCACAGGACUCUUCAUCACCAUGACACCACGCUCACCGCAAAAUAAAAAUGAUCAAACCUGUCAUGAUGUCAGCAGCACCGGUGUUGGUCUUUGUGGGAAAGAAAAACACAGGCCAGGGCUGCAGCACGAUUGUGUCUGCCCAGCUCUUGCAGCCUGGAGAACACCGUUGGAUUCCCUCCCACACAUGCUCCCAGGCUGCCUGCCUGCCUCACUUACCUGCUCAGGGUGGGGCUUGAGGGUGGCCCCUGGGAAGAGUAAGAACUGGCCAAGACUGAGAUGUCCUUCCCUCAUUUAAGGUACCGCCUUUUCCCUUUUCCCGCCAUCCUGGGUGCAUGGAUACUUGGGAUUAGAAACUGGACUGGAAAUGUAAUCUUUCUUCGGUUUGGGGCUGAGAACUGGGGAUUAGUAGGAUUUUGAGUUUAUGGCACAGCCUUUUCUUACACCAUUUCCUAAAAAGCAGUUAAGAUUACACCAGGCACAGUGGCUUACGCCUAUAAUCUCAGCACUUUGGGAGGCUGAGGCAGGUGGAUCAAGACCAGCUUAACCAACAUGGUGAAACCCCAUCUCUACUAAAAAUACAAAAAUUAGCUGGGCGUGGUGGCACGCAUUUGUAGUCCCGGCUACUUGGGAGGCUGAGGCAGGAGAAUUCCUUGAACCCGGGAGGCGGAGGUUGCGGUGAGCUGAGAUUGCACCAUUGCACUCCAGCAGCCUGGGCAACAGCAACGAAACUCCGUCUCAAAAAAAAAAAAAAAUUACAGUCAUCUCCCAGAAAAAUCAAGAAGGAAGAACCUUGGAGGUUCAACCUAUAGAAGAUAUGUUCUCAUGGAAUAAACCAAAAAUAAUUUUUAUUUUCUAAAAAAUCAAGAACAGAAGUCUCUCAACAUUUAAGUUUUACAAACAAAUAGAAUCUGAGCCACUGGGUUAAACAUGACAAACGACACACAGUAACAAAUAUUGAAGACAUCAUAAUGCCAAAGCAACAGAAGCAGCACCAGAAAUGUUGCUGAGGCCACCAUUUAAUUAACGCAAGUUGAACAUAUGGCUUUGGUUACAUGUGGUUCCAGGCCAGAGGCAUGGAAGUCAGUGUUUGUGGGAAAGCCAGGAGGAAAAGCUCCUCUCCCCACCUCCACCUUGUCACUCCAGGUUCUGGUGACCCCAUCUCGGGACACGGCCUCCCAUUUCACUCCUGCACCAACCCCACUCUUGUAACACUGCACAUGCAAGAUGUGAGCAUCUUCAAAGUACGAAUAUUGCCUUCUUCAUUUUAGAAUCCAUGAUGUGCUUGUGGGGAGAAUGAAUGAAUGCUCAAACAUGAAUGGAGAGAGACAGAGAGGAAGUGCAGGUCUAACCAAGGAAACCUUCUUUCCUAGAAAAUCGUUGAUGAGCCCGGAAAGAGUUGGCUGAACAACGGUAACAAUUCUUUUAUUAUUAUUUAACUUAUUAAGUUAUUAGAAAAAGUAAAAGAGUGAGUCGAGGUUUUUGGAUUGGAAGUAGGGACCCACUGAGUUCCCUCCAGGAUUGUGGAGUUUCUUUUACAGCCACAUGUGGAUAAGAAACUAAGGGCCACAGACCAAAUGACAGGUCGGAUGGCAACCCUGGAAAAGUCACACAGCUCAGCCUGUUGGAGGAAGAGGAGCAGUAGAACCUGUGUGGAGCCUGACAGAACCCAAGAUGCCAUUCACGAACCGAGAGGUCUUUCAAGAUCACACACAGUUCUACGACACAGACAUUUCGUCUUCUUGCCACUCAGUAGCGGGGCCCAUCCCUCUGUGCCUCCAAGGUCCGUGUGCCAUGUGGAAAACUCAGGUGUUCUGUCUCUGCCAGGACCUUCUUCCUGCUGCUUAUUUAAGUGUCUGCUGCUUCGGGGCCUCAGGUGCCUGCUUUAUCUCUUUCUCCUUUACUAUCAAGUCUUUAAGCAAUUUGCCAAGACGGAGAAUCUCACUGGCCUGGUGGGGCUGAGCCUUCCUUCACUGGCUGACCAACUGGGAAGUGGGCUGCUGCCUAGAUCAGGAGAAAGAAUUGUGCCAUGAAAAAUGGAAAACUCCUGAGAAGCUGUUCCAGCGUCAGGAGAGCAGCAGACAAGCUGGACUGGGGAAGAUUCUUCCUGCAAGACCUGCAGAGUGUAUGACACAUAACCAGCACCCAAGAAAUGUCUACCGAGGAAUUAAUGAAUGAGGAAAUACCUCUGUACACUCACCAGACACUGGCUGCUGGUUGUCACGGUGCUAAGAGCUGUGGGAAACAUGAAGAGCAAUGAGACCAGGUCCCUGCUCUGAGGAGACGUGUGCCAGCGAAGU